ACGGCCAUACCACAUGAAAACACCGGUUCUCGUUCGAUCACCGAAGUUAGGCAAUGUCGGGCCCGGUCAGUACUUGGAGGGUGACCACCCUGGGAACACCGGGUUCUGUAGGCU
rnacentral:rRNA from 1 species